rnacentral:rRNA from 1 species
CAGCCGUAAACUAUGCUCGCUAGGUGUCAGGCAUGGCGCGACCGUGUCUGGUGCCGCAGGGAAGCCGUGAAGCGAGCCACCUGGGAAGUACGGCCGCAAGGCUGAACUUAAGGAUUGGCGGGGGAGCACAACAACGGGUGGAGCCUGCGGUUUAAUUGGACUCAACGCCGGACAACUCACCGGGAACGACAGCAAUAUGUAGGCCAGGCUGAAGACCUUGCCUGAAUCGCUGAGAGGAGGUGCAUGGCGUAGUCGUGU